UUGAAUAUUGUUUUUAGAUAUCACAGUGAAUCUGUUCCUUAAAUGUCAAGGUCAAACGAUUCUUCAAGCUAAGGUUUUCACUGAAAGUUCAGAAGUUCCAGAAGGUGGAAGACUGGAGGUUACUUGCAGCACAUUUGGCUUUACAGAAAAGGCAGUUUAUUUAUAUCUUUGUAAAAAUGGUAAAGCUAAUCUUAUGAAAAAAGGGACAGCUCGACAAGACACCACCUUUAAAAUAGAGAGAAUAGAAAUUAACGCUUCAGGCAACUACAGCUGUGUGUUUUCAGAAGAGCAGUUGGAAAUAACCAAAGUGACAGGAUAUGGUAUUAAUUACAUCUUCAUAAAUGUGAUCGAAUCUUUUAUUUAUACACAGAUAAAUUUACUUAAACCUGAGGUGCCAGUGGGAAGUGAUGCUGAGUUUAACUGUUCAACAUCCAAUCCUUUACCAAAAAUCCAGUCCAAGAACAUGAUUUUGGUUUAUCUCAUCAAAAAUGGAACACCUGUUGAAGUUAAUAUUUGGGACACAGAGAAGAUGAUGACAUCAUUCACCCUCAGAGAGGUCGGGAUUGAAGAUGCUGGGACAUACAGUUGUGUUGUAUUGUUAAACGUACUCCCUUACCAUGGAAUGAGACUUCAUCAAAAUAUUAAAGUCAAUCUUGAGAUUAAUGGUAAGAAUGGGAGGGGACAAACAAAACA